UUAGCCCUACGGGGGGCAGCAGUGAGGAAUAUUGGUCAAUGGUCGGGAGACUGAACCAGCCAAGCCGCGUGAGGGAUGAAGGUACAGAGUAUCGUAAACCUCUUUUGUCAGGGAACAAAGGCGGGGACGCGUCCCCGGAUGAGUGUACCUGAAGAAAAAGCAUCGGCUAACUCCGUGCCAGCAGCCGCGGUAAUACGGAGGAUGCGAGCGUUAUCCGGAUUUAUUGGGUUUAAAGGGUGCGUAGGCGGACUGUCAAGUCAGCGGUAAAAUACGGGGGCUCAACCUCCGCCCGCCGUUGAAACUGG
rnacentral:rRNA from 1 species